CUUGAGGGGACUGUAGGAGCAGUAGAAGAAAAACAUGAGGGAGGGGAGAGAGCAGCAGAGUGUUCUGCCCUGCUUUUUGCCCCACCAAAGGGAGGCAGUGUAAUGUGUGGAUAUGGGGUGGAGAAUUGGUGGUGAGUCGAGCCUGGGGAAUACUGGAAAAAAAGAUGUCUCUUAUAUGUAUAUAGGCCAAUGUGGCAGAAGAUAGGCAUGACCCUGCAUCAUUCUUGGACUUGCUGAAGAGUCUAGUCRUAUGGUCUAUUUCUAAAAAUAUACCAAGAAGGCCUGAAGAUUUCCCUUGCUGGUGUUCYUGAAAGAAGAGGAUAUGAAGUAGGACAGAAACCCCUCAGAGUUGGAGCUGUAACCUAAGGGAACUGCAAGUGUAGGAGAAAGAAGCCUUCAAUGGUACCAGGAAAGUCAUGACCUUGAGCUGCAACUGCGUGUCAAGCUCCUUUGUCAGCUCCUUGUGCAGGUUAUAUCAUGGAUUUCGAUUGGUCUUGGAGGACCUGCUGUAUAUUACAUUUGGGUAGGACUAACAAGAGUCCAGGAAAACAACAACAACAACAAAAAACUUGAAACAUCCAGUGUGGGUACUCCAGACUAUUGUAGGAAACCACAGUUAAAAGAACAGUGGUCUGUAAUAAUAAAGUCACUCCUAGAGGGAUGGUAACAGUCCUAGGAACCGAAUACUAAAAUCCCAAAUGCCAUUUGCUUUUCUGAAUGAAUAAAAUUACAUCCUCAGUGAUUCUUACAGAGUGGAACAUUAGUUGAGUUUGUCUGUUCAUUCUUAAUGGGACUAUAGUUUGUGAUUGUCCUCCAGUAGCAUGUGCAAUUUUACUUCAUCUUGCACUCU